rnacentral:rRNA from 1 species
UGAGGUGCGAAGUGGUUCUGACCUUUUGGUACAGAGAAGUCAUUGAUGCCCGGCUUCCAGGAAAAGCUGCUAGCCAUAACUUAUAGAGAACCGUACCGCAAACCGACACAGGUGGACAGGUAGAGAAUACUAAGGCGCUUGAGAGAACUCGGGUGAAGGAACUAGGCAAAAUGGUACCGUAACUUCGGGAGAAGGUACGCCCUUUCUGGUGAUGGGAUUUACUUUCAGAGCUGGAGAGGGCCGCAGAGACCAGGUGGCUGCGACUGUUUAUUAAAAACACAGCACUCUGCAAAUUCGUAAGAAGACGUAUAGGGUGUGACGCCUGCCCGGUGCCGGAAGGUUAAUUGAUGGGGUUAUCUUCGGAGAAGCUCUUGAUCGAAGCCCCGGUAAACGGCGGCCGUAACUAUAACGGUCCUAAGGUAGCGAAAUUCCUUGUCGGGUAAGUUCCGACCUGCACGAAUGGCGUAACGAUGGCCACACUGUCUCCACCCGAGACUCAGUGAAAUUGAAAUCGCUGUGAAGAUGCAGUGUACCCGCGGCUAGACGGAAAGACCCCGUGAACCUUUACUAUAGUUUUGCACUGGACUUUGAUGAUGACUGUGUAGGAUAGGUGGGAGGCUGUGAAGUGAGGACGCUAGUUCUCAUGGAGCCGCCCUUGAAAUACCACCCUGUUGUUAUUGAGGUUCUAACUUGGUCCAGUAAUCCUGGAUGAGGACAGUGUAUGAUGGGUAGUUUGACUGGGGCGGUCUCCUCCCAAAGAGUAACGGAGGAGCACAAAGGUACCCUCGGUACGGUCGGACAUCGUACCAAGAGUGUAAAGGCAAAAGGGUGCUUGACUGCGAGAGUGACGGCUCGAGCAGGAACGAAAGUUGGUCUUAGUGAUCCGGUGGUUCUGAAUGGAAGGGCCAUCGCUCAACGGAUAAAAGGUACUCCGGGGAUAACAGGCUGAUACCGCCCAAGAGUUCAUAUCGACGGCGGUGUUUGGCACCUCGAUGUCGGCUCAUCACAUCCUGGGGCUGAAGCAGGUCCCAAGGGUAUGGCUGUUCGCCAUUUAAAGUGGUACGCGAGCUGGGUUUAGAACGUCGUGAGACAGUUCGGUCCCUAUCUGCCGUGGGCGUAGGAAAAUUGAGAGGAGCUGCUCCUAGUACGAGAGGACCGGAGUGGACGAACCUCUGGUGCACCGGUUGUCACGCCAGUGGCAUGGCCGGGUAGCUAAGUUCGGACGGGAUAACCGCUGAAAGCAUCUAAGCGGGAAGCCUCCCUCAAGAUGAGUUUUCCCAUGAAGCCCGUUGAAGACUACGACGUUGAUAGGCAAGGUGUGGAAGCGCAGUAAUGCGUGAAGCUAACUUGUACUAAUUGGCUGAUUG